rnacentral:SRP_RNA from 1 species
UGGCAGGCUAGUCCGGGUAGGCCGGCGUUACCUGUAACCCGAAAUCGCCGAUAUGCGGGGGACGAAGCCUGGAGAAGAUGUUUGGAUCACUUUCAAACCUGUAAUUUCAACUAAGAAGCCCCGUCCUGCUUGGAUGACGUUGAUAUAAGUGCUUGUUGGAGAACUUGUUCUUAUACCUUAACUGUGGGAACCAGCCGAGGCCCGGAAGGGAGCAGGCCUACCAUAGACAAUCGUCGCUUGGAGGGCUGCGGGGUGGAGAAGAGACUGCAGACCACCUGGAAGUGUGAAAGAUAACGACUCUGGGCGUGCCUGUCA